GAUGAACGCUAGCUACAGGCUUAACACAUGCAAGUCGAGGGACCGGCGCACGGGUGAGUAACAUGUAUCUGACCUGCCCUUUACUCGGGGAUAGCCUUUCGAAAGAAAGAUUAAUAUCCGAUAUAAAGGAUGGGGAUGCGUUCCAUUAGGUUGUUGGUGAGGUAACGGCAAACCAAGCUUUCGAUGGAGAGGGGAUCGGAGAGGAAGGUACACCAGAAUGGAAAUGAGACACGGUCCACACUGCGACGGAGGAGAGGAGUAAAGUGUAUUAGGGAAUGGGCUCUAGUCUGAACCAGCCAAGUAGCGGGAAGGAGUAAGGGGUAUGGGACGUAAUCAACUUUUAUAUAAGAAUAGGUAUUAUAUGAAUAAGGAUCGGCUAACUCCGUGCCAGCAGCCGCGGUAAUUC
rnacentral:rRNA from 1 species